UGGGGUGUGGCUUAGUCGUAGCGCACUUGCCUAGUAUGCAGGAAGCCUAGGUUCCAUCCCUAGCACCGCAU
rnacentral:tRNA from 1 species